rnacentral:rRNA from 1 species
UCCAAGGCUAAAUACUCCUGACUGACCGAUAGUGAACCAGUACCGUGAGGGAAAGGCGAAAAGAACCCCGGCGAGGGGAGUGAAAAAGAACCUGAAACCGUGUACGUACAAGCAGUGGGAGCACAGAGCAAUCUGUGUGACUGCGUACCUUUUGUAUAAUGGGUCAGCGACUUAUAUUCUGUAGCAAGGUUAACCGAAUAGGGGAGCCGAAGGGAAACCGAGUCUUAACCGGGCGUUAAGUUGCAGGGUAUAGACCCGAAACCCGGUGAUCUAGCCAUGGGCAGGUUGAAGGUUGGGUAACACUAACUGGAGGACCGAACCGACUAAUGUUGAAAAAUUAGCGGAUGACUUGUGGCUGGGGGUGAAAGGCCAAUCAAACCGGGAGAUAGCUGGUUCUCCCCGAAAGCUAUUUAGGUAGCGCCUCGUGAAUUCAUCUCCGGGGGUAGAGCACUGUUUCGGCAAGGGGGUCAUCCCGACUUACCAACCCGAUGCAAACUGCGAAUACCGGAGAAUGUUAUCACGGGAGACACACGGCGGGUGCUAACGUCCGUCGUGAAGAGGGAAACAACCCAGACCGCCAGCUAAGGUCCCAAAGUCAUGGUUAAGUGGGAAACGAUGUGGGAAGGCCCAGACAGCCAGGAUGUUGGCUUAGAAGCAGCCAUCAUUUAAAGAAAGCGUAAUAGCUCACUGGUCGAGUCGGCCUGCGCGGAAGAUGUAACGGGGCUAAACCAUGCACCGAAGCUGCGGCAGCGACACUGUGUGUUGUUGGGUAGGGGAGCGUUCUGUAAGCCUGUGAAGGUGUGCUGUGAGGCAUGCUGGAGGUAUCAGAAGUGCGAAUGCUGACAUAAGUAACGAUAAAGCGGGUGAAAAGCCCGCUCGCCGGAAGACCAAGGGUUCCUGUCCAACGUUAAUCGGGGCAGGGUGAGUCGACCCCUAAGGCGAGGCCGAAAGGCGUAGUCGAUGGGAAACAGGUUAAUAUUCCUGUACUUGGUGUUACUGCGAAGGGGGGACGGAGAAGGCUAUGUUGGCCGGGCGACGGUUGUCCCGGUUUAAGCGUGUAGGCUGGUUUUCCAGGCAAAUCCGGAAAAUCAAGGCUGAGGCGUGAUGACGAGGCACUACGGUGCUGAAGCAACAAAUGCCCUGCUUCCAGGAAAAGCCUCUAAGCAUCAGGUAACAUCAAAUCGUACCCCAAACCGACACAGGUGGUCAGGUAGAGAAUACCAAGGCGCUUGAGAGAACUCGGGUGAAGGAACUAGGCAAAAUGGUGCCGUAACUUCGGGAGAAGGCACGCUGAUAUGUAGGUGAAGUCCCUCGCGGAUGGAGCUGAAAUCAGUCGAAGAUACCAGCUGGCUGCAACUGUUUAUUAAAAACACAGCACUGUGCAAACACGAAAGUGGACGUAUACGGUGUGACGCCUGCCCGGUGCCGGAAGGUUAAUUGAUGGGGUCAGCGCAAGCGAAGCUCUUGAUCGAAGCCCCGGUAAACGGCGGCCGUAACUAUAACGGUCCUAAGGUAGCGAAAUUCCUUGUCGGGUAAGUUCCGACCUGCACGAAUGGCGUAAUGAUGGCCAGGCUGUCUCCACCCGAGACUCAGUGAAAUUGAACUCGCUGUGAAGAUGCAGUGUACCCGCGGCAAGACGGAAAGACCCCGUGAACCUUUACUAUAGCUUGACACUGAACAUUGAGCCUUGAUGUGUAGGAUAGGUGGGAGGCUUUGAAGUGUGGACGCCAGUCUGCAUGGAGCCGACCUUGAAAUACCACCCUUUAAUGUUUGAUGUUCUAACGUGGACCCGUGAUCCGGGUUGCGGACAGUGUCUGGUGGGUAGUUUGACUGGGGCGGUCUCCUCCUAAAGAGUAACGGAGGAGCACGAAGGUUGGCUAAUCCUGGUCGGACAUCAGGAGGUUAGUGCAAUGGCAUAAGCCAGCUUGACUGCGAGCGUGACGGCGCGAGCAGGUGCGAAAGCAGGUCAUAGUGAUCCGGUGGUUCUGAAUGGAAGGGCCAUCGCUCAACGGAUAAAAGGUACUCCGGGGAUAACAGGCUGAUACCGCCCAAGAGUUCAUAUCGACGGCGGUGUUUGGCACCUCGAUGUCGGCUCAUCACAUCCUGGGGCUGAAGUAGGUCCCAAGGGUAUGGCUGUUCGCCAUUUAAAGUGGUACGCGAGCUGGGUUUAGAACGUCGUGAGACAGUUCGGUCCCUAUCUGCCGUGGGCGCUGGAGAACUGAGGGGGGCUGCUCCUAGUACGAGAGGACCGGAGUGGACGCAUCACUGGUGUUCGGGUUGUCAUGCCAAUGGCACUGCCCGGUAGCUAAAUGCGGAAGAGAUAAGUGCUGAAAGCAUCUAAGCACGAAACUUGCCCCGAGAUGAGUUCUCCCUGACCCUUUAAGGGUCCUGAAGGAACGUUGAAGACGACGACGUUGAUAGGCCGGGUGUGUAAGCGCAGCGAUGCGUUGAGCUAACCGGUACUAAUGAACCGUGAGGCUUAACCUUACAACGCCGAAGGUGUUU